GCGUCGGAGGUGUAAGGCGUAGCAUUGCUGCCUGGAAAGCAGAAGGUGUGGAUUCGCGUCCCGCUUGGCGCU
rnacentral:tRNA from 1 species